GGGCGCAGCCUGAUCCAGCCAUACCGCGUGGGUGAAGAAGGCCUUCGGGUUGUAAAGCCCUUUUGUUGGGAAAGAAAUCCAGCUGGCUAAUACCCGGUUGGGAUGACGGUACCCAAAGAAUAAGCACCGGCUAACUUCGUGCCAGCAGCCGCGGUAAUACGAAGGGUGCAAGCGUUACUCGGAAUUACUGGGCGUAAAGCGUGCGUAGGUGGUCGUUUAAGUCCGUUGUGAAAGCCCUGGGCUCAACCUGGGAACUGCAGUGGAUACUGGGCGACUAGAAUGUGGUAGAGGGUAGCGGAAUUCCUGGUGUAGCAGUGAAAUGCGUAGAGAUCAGGAGGAACAUCCAUGGCGAAGGCAGCUACCUGGACCAACAUUGACACUGAGGCACGAAAGCGUGGGGAGCAAACAGGAUUAGAUACCCUGGUAGUCCACGCCCUAAACGAUGCGAACUGGAUGUUGGGUGCAAUUUGGCACGCAGUAUCGAAGCUAACGCGUUAAGUUCGCCGCCUGGGGAGUACGGUCGCAAGACUGAAACUCAAAGGAAUUGACGGGGGCCCGCACAAGCGGGUGGAGUAUGUGGUUUAAUUCGAUGCAACGCGAAGAACCUUACCUGGCCUUGACAUGUCGAGAACUUUCCAGAGAUGGAUGGGUGCCUUCGGGAACUCGAACACAGGUGCUGCAUGGCUGUCGUCAGCUCGUGA
rnacentral:rRNA from 1 species